UGGGGAAUAUUGCGCAAUGGGGGAAACCCUGACGCAGCAACGCCGCGUGAGUGAAGAAGGCCUUCGGGUUGUAAAGCUCUUUGAUCAGGGACGAAGGAAGUGACGGUACCUGAAGAACAAGCUCCGGCUAACUACGUGCCAGCAGCCGCGGUAAUACGUAGGGAGCAAGCGUUAUCCGGAUUUACUGGGUGUAAAGGGCGAGUAGGCGGGAAGACAAGUUGGGAGUGAAAUCCCGGGGCUUAACCCCGGAACUGCUUUCAAAACUGUUUUUCUUGAGUGAUGGAGAGGCAGGCGGAAUUCCGUGUGUAGCGGUGAAAUGCGUAGAUAUACGGAGGAACACCAGUGGCGAAGGCGGCCUGCUGGACAUUAACUGACGCUGAGGAGCGAAAGCGUGGGGAGC
rnacentral:rRNA from 1 species